rnacentral:rRNA from 1 species
UCUACGGGUGGCAGCAGUGAGGAAUAUUGGUCAAUGGGCGGGAGCCUGAACCAGCCAAGCCGCCUGAAGGAAUAAGGCGCCAGGCGUUGUAAACUUCUUUUGUCGGGGAACAAAGGGCGCCACGCGUGGCGUUGUGAGUGUACCCGAAGAAAAAGCAUCGGCUAACUCCGUGCCAGCAGCCGCGGUAAUACGGAGGAUGCGAGCGUUUUCCGGAUUUAUUGGGUUUAAAGGGUGCGUAGGCGGUCCGGAAAGUCGGCGGUAAAAGCCCGGGGCGGAACCCCGGCGAGCCGGUGACACUGUCGGACUAGAGGCGGGGAGAAGUACGCGGAAUGCGCGGUGUAGCGGUGAAAUGCAUAGAG